GACGAACGCUGGCGGCGUGCUUAACACAUGCAAGUCGAACGGAAAGUGCUCUUCGGAGUGACUCGAGUGGCGAACGGGUGAGUAACACGUGGGUAAUCUGCCCUGCACUUUGGGAUAAGCCUGGGAAACUGGGUCUAAUACCGAAUAUACCCUGCUGGUCGCAUGGCCUGGUGGGGGAAAGCUUUUGCGGUGUGGGAUGGGCACGCGGCCUAUCAGCUUGUUGGUGGGGUGAUGGCCUACCAAGGCGACGACGGGUAGCCGGCCUGAGAGGGUGACCGGCCACACUGGGACUGAGAUACGGCCCAGACUCCUACGGGAGGCAGCAGUGGGGAAUAUUGCACAAUGGGCGCAAGCCUGAUGCAGCGACGCCGCGUGAGGGAUGACGGCC
rnacentral:rRNA from 1 species